CACCAAACUAUGCACCAAACACAUACAAAAUGAAAAUGACAUGAAAAUCGUGACGUUAACAAUUGGCAUCAAAAUUUUACGAAAAGUUUAGAUGUCAGAUAUUACCAUUGGUCAUAGGAUCUCUUUCUAGUAUUUCAAGGAUGUUUGUUGGGAAAAAAAUUGAAGAAGUGUUAGGAUGCUCUGUUCGUGAUUAUUUCCUUGAAACUCAAGAUAAGGUCAAUACUCUUGAAGACAUUCCUCCUUCUGUAAUUGCAACAGGAUUUAGUUAUUGUCUCACCAGUAUAUACAUGAUCUCGUUUUUGUUGCUUUUUAGGAAAAUGAGGUGUUACUUGGCCAUGUGGAC